rnacentral:rRNA from 1 species
AGCAGCCGCGGUAAUUCCAGCUCCAAUAGCGUAUAUUUAAGUUGUUGCAGUUAAAAAGCUCGUAGUUGAAUUUCGGGGUUAGUAGGUUGGUCAUGCCUCCGGUAUGUACUGAUCUCACUGAUUCCUCCUUCCUUAUGAACCGUAAUGCCAUUAAUUUGGUGUUGCGGGGAAUUUGGACUGUUACUUUGAAAAAUUAGAGUGUUUAAAGCAGGCUAACGCUUGAAUACAUUAGCAUGGAAUAAUGAAAUAGGACGUUCGAUCUUAUUUUGUUGGUUUCUAGGAUUGACGUAAUGGAUUAAUAGGGAUAGUUGGGGGCAUUAGUAUUCAAUUGUCAGAGGUGAAAUUCUUGGAUUUAUUGAAGACUAACUACUGCGAAAGCAUUUUGCCAAGGAUGUUUUCAUUAAUCAAGAAC